GUGGGGAAUAUUGGACAAUGGGCGAAAGCCUGAUCCAGCCAUGCCGCGUGUGUGAAGAAGGUCUUCGGAUUGUAAAGCACUUUAAGUUGGGAGGAAGGGCAGUAAGUUAAUACCUUGCUGUUUUGACGUUACCGACAGAAUAAGCACCGGCUAACUUCGUGCCAGCAGCCGCGGUAAUACGAAGGGUGCAAGCGUUACUCGGAAUUACUGGGCGUAAAGCGCGCGUAGGUGGUUUUGUAAGUUGGAGGUGAAAUCCCCGGGCUCAACCUGGGAACUGCCUCCAAAACUGCAUGACUAGAGUACGGUAGAGGGUAGUGGAAUUUCCUGUGUAGCGGUGAAAUGCGUAGAUAUAGGAAGGAACACCAGUGGCGAAGGCGACUACCUGGACUGAUACUGACACUGAGGUGCGAAAGCGUGGGGAGCAAACAGGAUUAGAAACCCCGGUAGUCC
rnacentral:rRNA from 1 species